rnacentral:rRNA from 1 species
CCUACGGGGGGCAGCAGUGGGGAAUAUUGGACAAUGGGCGCAAGCCUGAUCCAGCAAUACCGCGUGUGUGAAGAAGGCCUGAGGGUUGUAAAGCACUUUUAAUCGGGAGGAAUAGCGGUCGGUUAAUACCCGGUCGUCUGACAUUACCGAUAGAAAAAGCACCGGCUAACUCCGUACCAGCAGCCGCGGUAAUACGGAGGGUGCAAGCGUUAAUCGGAAUGACUGGAGGUAGAGCGUGAAGUGGCGGUUGAAAGCCCCGGGCUUAACCUGGGAACGGCAUUUGAAACUGAUCGACUAGAGUUGGGUAGAGGGGAGUGGAAUUUCAGGUGUAGCGGUGAAAUGCGUAGAUAUCUGAAGGAACACCAGUGGCGAAGGCGGCUCCCUGGACCCAAACUGACGCUGAGGUACGAAAGCGUGGGUAGCAAACAGGAUUAGAUACCCGAGUAGUC